AUAAAAACUUUGAAAAGAAGAGUAAACUUAUGAAAUUUCUUAAAAGAGAGUUCUACUUGGUGAAAAGGAACAGAAAAAUAAUAAGUUGAAUAUGGUCUUGGAGUUAGGUAGCUGAAUUUGUUUAAGUUAUCUCGGAUGCAUCCGUUAGAGUGAUAGAGUAUAAAAGACUUUAGUCUUUAAGUACUCGAAGAGAUAUUUAUCGUGAGGUAAAUAUAAACCUAGGGUGGUAACACGAAGCUUUCGUCCCUUUG
rnacentral:ncRNA from 1 species